CAAAGGGGUGCCCAAAGAAUAAAGACCCGUGGCUGAGAUUAUACCCUAUGAACCUGAUGCGGUUAAUACCGACGAAGGGAUUGUCC
rnacentral:ncRNA from 1 species